CGGUCUUGUCGACGUCAAUUGUUUCCGAUCGAGUAUUGCGCUGUCUCCACAAUUGUUAAAUGAGCUGCUCGUCAGUUAGGAAGUUAGUUAAGUUGUUAUUGCUUUCCGUGCAUUCGAAUCGUCACGCUGUCCGUUUGAUGGACGGGAAGUAGUCGGCUUCUGUUACCGUUUUAUUUGGGCGCCAGUGCGACAAACAAGAAGUUUGGUUUAUACAUCCCUUCGGUAUUAGUGUCCGUCCUGCGCACUCGGUGGACGUUAUCUUUAGUGAUGCUAUAACAUCCAUCGCCUCCAUAGGUCCGGUUGGGGGUAAAAACUAAUUCAAAAUUAGUUAUUUAAAAAUCAUAUAGAUACCUAGUUCGUGUUAUAGUAAUUUAUCUAGUUUUUCAUUUGAUAAUUCGUAUUUUAUUUUAAUUAAUUUCAAACGGAAAUAUUAUUUUGUGAUAUUUAUACAUGUGUUAUUAUUGAACUAAUUGUAAGGCUCAAGAGUUCCAUAAAUAUAUCAUUUCCUUCCGUAGCAGUGCGUGGUCAUAUUUGCUCUAGUUAAUGUGUGUUUAAACGUAACAAUACCGGCACCUACGCAAGUGACGAUACUAUCAUUUUGAUAGUAACUGAGUCUUUUAACUUCAAUGCGAAGAUAAGGAGCGAUAAGGAUUUUAUGUGUCACCAAAACUGGUUUUUGAAGUAGCCGUCUUCGCCGCCGAUAGACACACAUGUGCAAAGGACUCCGCUAGAUAUGUCCUCAUUUCAAACAUCUCCGUUUGUCAAAAUUUGUUUGAAUCGGACUGAGUUUAUGCGUUGAAAAUUGUUCAAAUGAAUUUAUAAUAACCUAAAAUGUAUACUUGAAAUGUUUAAAUUAUGCUUAAAAGUUUGAAUAAACGACUAGCUUG